GAUUACAAAAGAUGUCCUUAAAAUUUCGGUGUCAAACCAUCCACCCCUUGGGGCGGUGAUCACAAUCUCCGUGAACACCGGCGUUCUGUUCUGCAUAUCCAUAUCCGAAAAGUACACGCAUCAUACGGGUCAUCUAUACGCAAGA
ensembl:ncRNA F52B10.6 ncRNA